GAUGAACGCUGGCGGCGUGCCUAAUACAUGCAAGUCGAGCGAACGGACGAGAAGCUUGCUUCUCUGAUGUUAGCGGCGGACGGGUGAGUAACACGUGGAUAACCUACCUAUAAGACUGGGAUAACUUCGGGAAACCGUAGCUAACACCGGAUAAUAUUUUGAACCGCAUGGUUCAAAAGUGAAAGACGGUCUUGCUGUCACUUAUAGAUGGAUCCGCGCUGCAUUAGCUAGUUGGUAAGGUAACGGCUUACCAAGGCAACGAUGCAUAGCCGACCUGAGAGGGUGAUCGGCCACACUGGAACUGAGACACGGUCCAGACUCCUACGGGAGGCAGCAGUAGGGAAUCUUCCGCAAAGGGCGAAAGCCUGACGGAGCAACGCCGCGUGAGUGAUGAAGGUCUUCGGAUCGUAAAACUCUGUUAUUAGGGAAGAACAUAUGUGUAAGUAACUGUGCACAUCUUGACGGUACCUAAUCAGAAAGCCACGGCUAACUACGUG
rnacentral:rRNA from 1 species